rnacentral:rRNA from 1 species
UACGUAGGGUACGAGCGUUGUCCGGAAUUAUUGGGCGUAAAGAGCUCGUAGGCGGUCUGUCGCGUCGGAUGUGAAAACUCGGGGCUCAACCCCGAGCCUGCAUUCGAUACGGGCAGACUAGAGUUCGGUAGGGGAGACUGGAAUUCCUGGUGUAGCGGUGAAAUGCGCAGAUAUCAGGAGGAACACCGGUGGCGAAGGCGGGUCUCUGGGCCGAUACUGACGCUGAGGAGCGAAAGCGUGGGGAGCGAACAGG